rnacentral:misc_RNA from 1 species
AACGCACAUUGCGCCCGCCAGUAUUCUGGCGGGCAUGCCUGUUCGAGCGUCAUUUCAACCCUCAAGCUCAGCUUGGUGUUGGGAGCUGCAGUCCUGCUGCACUCCCCAAAUACAUUGGCGGUCACGUCGAGCUUCCAUAGCGUAGUAAUUUACACAUCGUUACUGGUAAUCGUCGCGGCCACGCCGUUAAACCCCAACUUCUGAAUGUUGACCUCGGAUCAGGUAGGAAUACCCGCUGAACUUAA